GGUGGGGUGGCCGAGAGGCGAGGCAGCGGCCUGCAAAGCCGCGUACACGGGUUCGAAUCCCGUUCCCACCUCCA
rnacentral:tRNA from 2 species